AUACGUAGGGGGCGAGCGUUGUCCGGAAUGAUUGGGCGUAAAGGGCGCGUAGGCGGCCCGGUAAGUCUGGAGUGAAAGUCCUGUUUUUAAGAUGGGAAUUGCUUUGGAUACUGUCGGGCUUGAGUGCAGGAGAGGUAAGUGGAAUUCCCAGUGUAGCGGUGAAAUGCGUAGAGAUUGGGAGGAACACCAGUGGCGAAGGCGACUUACUGGACUGUAACUGACGCUGAGGCGCGAAAGUGUGGGGAGCAAACAGGAUUAUAUACCCUGGUAGUCCACACUGUAAACGAUGAAUGCUAGGUGUAGGGGGUAUCGACCCCUUCUGUGCCGCAGUCAACACAAUAAGCAUUCCGCCUGGGGAGUACGGCCGCAAGGUUGAAACUCAAAGGAAUUGACGGGG
rnacentral:rRNA from 1 species